CCCAGAUGUUCACUGCUGAAGGACGCUUGAUAUCCAAUAAAACUACAAUUACAACAGGAGACGCAAAACCAUGGAAAAGAAUGUCAGGUGCAACGAUGGACCUUUCCAAUCAUAUCCAUGCAUCUACACCCAGAUUUGCCUCCAGGAUCUCUCACAGGUGCACCAUUGGCCCCAGGCCGGCCUGGCACCCAACCCUCCUGCUCAUCAGCACCACUACCAAAACACACACACAUAAACCCUCUGCCCCCCUUCUUGAAGGUCCAGCUGAUCCCCACCUGAUCCCAAUUCAUGGGGGAGGAGGAGGUGCUCUGAUCUGAGCUCACCCUGGAGAGGUGAGAAAGAAGAAAAUAUAUGCCAUCGCUCAUCUUUCUUGUCUCUCUGUCUCGUACAAGGAUAGUAACUCUUUGUGCUCCUGUCAGAUUAAUGCCAACAAUAAGCCCUAAAACCAUGUUAGAUGGUGUCCUUGAGUAUCCUAUGCAUGCAUGUGAAUGUAUGUAACAUUGUGUGUCUGCGUCCACCAGUGUUAUUGUGUGUAAAGAGCAGUAUGUCCAAGCAGGGCUGAGCUCAGGUGUCCUGUGCUGAUGAGUUGCAGCUGGCUCUCAUUGGUGCUGUAAUGGGUGCUAUCCAGUGCCUGGGUCAGUCACACAGCUGAGUUUAGACUACCCUCAGUAUAGCAAUCCAUGUUCAAACUCAUUCAGCCUCCUAAAAGUAUAUAAGUUAUGUACUUAUCUUAAUGAGAUAAGUCACUAAAUUAUUUUCUGAAUUAAACCAUCCAUUUAAAUUAAUUUGUUCCCCAUGACAAGUUAUUGAGAUCACUAAAAUUCUAUGAACAGGCAUGAAAAACACAUGAACAGGCAAAAAAAAAAAAAGACACAUUAUACAACAGUUAGUUCCAGUUUUCAAAUUUGAUUGUGAUUUUUGAAGCAGUGCCAUAGAAGAACCAUUUUGUUUUCCCCAAAGAACCUUUCAGUGAACAGUUCUCAAAAGAACGAUUUAUUUGUUAGUGUGAAGAACAUUUUAGAAAUCUGAAUAACCUUCUUCCACUAUAAAGUACCUUUUGUGGAAUGGAAAGGUUCCAUGGAUGUUAAAGGUUCUUCAUGGAACC
ensembl:lncRNA